rnacentral:piRNA from 1 species
UAGGAAGUGAGGAGCGCCUCUUCCCG